rnacentral:rRNA from 1 species
UUGGGAACCGAUGCUAAUACCGGAUGUGCCGAGAGGUGAAAGGCUUGCUGCCUGAAGAAGAGCUCGCGUCUGAUUAGCUAGUUGGUGGUGUAAGGGACUACCAAGGCGACGAUCAGUAGCUGGUCUGAGAGGAUGAUCAGCCACACUGGAACUGAGACACGGUCCAGACUCCUACGGGAGGCAGCAGUGGGGAAUUUUCCGCAAUGGGCGAAAGCCUGACGGAGCAAUACCGCGUGAGGGAGGAAGGCUCUUGGGUUGUAAACCUCUUUUCUCAAGGAAGAAGUAAUGACGGUACUUGAGGAAUCAGCAUCGGCUAACUCCGUGCCAGCAGCCGCGGUAAUACGGAGGAUGCAAGCGUUAUCCGGAAUGAUUGGGCGUAAAGCGUCCGCAGGUGGUUGUGUGUGUCUAUUGUCAAAGCAUCAUGCUUAACAUGAUAAAGGCAGUAGAAACUACACGACUAGAGUGCGUUCGGGGCAGAGGGAAUUCCUGGUGUAGCGGUGAAAUGCGUAGAGAUCAGGAAGAACACCGGUGGCGAAAGCGCUCUGCUAGGCCGCAACUGACACUGAGGGACGAAAGCUAGGGGAGCGAAUGGGAUUAGAUACCCC